rnacentral:rRNA from 1 species
AGUGAACGCUGGCGGCGUGCCUAACACAUGCAAGUCGAAGGAAGUGGCGCACGGGUGAGAAAUAUAUAGCUAAUCUGCCCCUCGCUGGAGGACAAACGUUAGAAAUGACUGCUAAUAACCGAUAGCAAGGGAGGAGACUAUAUCGUAUAAGUUAGUCGGUGGGGUAACGGCCUACCGUGGCUAUGACGCGUAACUGGGCUGUGAGGAUAAUCAGUCGCAUUGUAACGGAGACACGGUCCAAACUCGUACGGGAGGCCGCAGAAGGGAAUAUUGCGCAAUGGGGGAAACCCGGACGCGGCAACGCCGCGUGGAGGAUGCCACUUUUCGGAGCGUAAACUCCUUUUGUUAGGGAAGCGGUACCUACCGAAUAAGCACCGGCUAACUCCGUGCCAGCAGCCGCGGUAAUUC